rnacentral:rRNA from 1 species
AUUGAACGCUGGCGGCAGGCCUAACACAUGCAAGUCGAACGGUAACAGGAAACAGCUUGCUGUUUCGCUGACGAGUGGCGGACGGGUGAGUAAUGUCUGGGAAACUGCCUGAUGGAGGGGGAUAACUACUGGAAACGGUAGCUAAUACCGCAUAACGUCGCAAGACCAAAGAGGGGGACCUUCGGGCCUCUUGCCAUCGGAUGUGCCCAGAUGGGAUUAGCUAGUAGGUGGGGUAACGGCUCACCUAGGCGACGAUCCCUAGCUGGUCUGAGAGGAUGACCAGCCACACUGGAACUGAGACACGGUCCAGACUCCUACGGGAGGCAGCAGUGGGGAAUAUUGCACAAAGGGCGCAAGCCUGAUGCAGCCAUGCCGCGUGUAUGAAGAAGGCCUUCGGGUUGUAAAGUACUUUCAGCGGGGAGGAAGGGAGUAAAGUUAAUACCUGUACUCAUUGACGUUACCCGCAGAAGAAGCACCGGCUAACUCCGUG